rnacentral:lncRNA from 1 species
GCUGUGGCUCCCCUGGGAAUGGCAGAGGUUCAAGGGCAAGCUGCGGGGGCUGGGGUGGAGGUGCUCUUCUCGCUGUGGCCUUGACAAAGCCUCCAGUUUGAUACAACCAAGUCGGAUGGGCAGUUUAAGAAGACAGCCAGUAACAGCAAGCUGAGGACCUACCUGCCCGACUUCCGGUUCACACCCUUCAAGCAGGCGGUGAAGGAGACCUGUGCUUGGUUCACUGACAACUACGAGCAGGCCCGGAAGUGAAGCUGGAAGACAGGAUCAGGUGCCAGCGGACCAUCGGCUGGCAGAGCCCAGCGGCCACCACCCGUCAACCCUGCCAGGAGCUGAGGGCACCACCCAGCAACCUGGGCCUGCAUUCCAUCCGCUCUGCAGCCCCAAGCAUCUUUCCAGUGGGGCCCCCAUUCACGUUGGUCCUCAGGGAAACCAGGGUCCCGGGCAGGCCCGGCGCUUUGCUCCCCACACCAGCCCCCUGCGCGUGUCCACUCUGAUCCUGCAUCCCACUCCCUGGGAGCCAAUAAAGUGCAUUUUCACA